GAUGAACGCUGGCGGCGUGCCUAAUACAUGCAAGUCGAGCGAACGGACGAGAAGCUUGCUUCUCUGAUGUUAGCGGCGGACGGGUGAGUAACACGUGGAUAACCUACCUAUAAGACUGGGAUAACUUCGGGAAACCGGAGCUAAUACCGGAUAAUAUUUUGAACCGCAUGGUUCAAAAGUGAAAGACGGUCUUGCUGUCACUUAUAGAUGGAUCCGCGCUGCAUUAGCUAGUUGGUAAGGUAACGGCUUACCAAGGCAACGAUGCAUAGCCGACCUGAGAGGGUGAUCGGCCACACUGGAACUGAGACACGGUCCAGACUCCUACGGGAGGCAGCAGUAGGGAAUCCUCCGCAAUGGGCGAAAGCCUGACGCAGCAACGCCGCGUGAGUGAUGAAGGUCUUCGGAUCGUAAAACUCUGUUAUUAGGGAAGAACAUAUGUGUAAGUAACUGUGCACAUCUUGACGGUACCUAAUCAGAAAGCCACGGCUAACUACGUG
rnacentral:rRNA from 1 species